rnacentral:lncRNA from 1 species
UCUUACCUCCUUUAGAGCUGUAUUUUUUUUUAUCAACUUUCAGCAUAAAAGAUUGAUAUCCUAAUCUUUAAUAAUUUCUUCCUUAGGGAGCUACCAUUUGAUUUUUAGGGGGGGCUAGGAUGAAAUUUGAAAAAAAUAGGCAGGACAGGAGUUUUGAGUAAAAAAAAAAGGCAGGAUGAGACACUUGCAAAAAAAAAAAAGUCAGGACGACAAUUUAGGUAAAAAAAAAGUCAGGAUUAACAAACAAAAAAAGGCAGGACCGAACAGAGUGAAAAAUAAAAAGGCAGGACAGAGAUUACAACUAAAAAAUAAUGCAGGACAAAAUUUUUCAUCCUAGCCCCCCC